CUGGGGGGGGUCACGCUCACCUGGGGGGCAUCCACGGGGUCCCUGUGCUGCCACACCCACCUGAUCCUCAACGUGGAGUGGGCCAAGCCCUCGACCAACUGAGCCGCUCCCGGUUUGUCCCAGUUUGUCCCAGUUUGUCCCGGUUUGUCCCAGUUUGUCCCAGUUUGUCCCGGUUUGUCCCAGUUUGUCCCAGUUUGUCCCAGUUCAAUAAAGCUCCGGGCUCUGGCACUGC